GACGAACGCUGGCGGCGUGCCUAAUACAUGCAAGUCGAGCGAAGCGGCGGAUGGGGGAGUAACGCGUGGUUAACCUGCCCUUAAGUCUGGGAUACCAUUUGGAAACAGAUACUAAUACCGGAUACUAAAGUAGGGACCUGCGAUGCAGUAGAUAGUUGGUAAGGUAACGGCUUACCAAGGCGAUGAUGCAUAGCUGAGUUGAGAGACUGAUCGUCCACAUUGGGACUGAGACACGGCCCAAACUCCUACGGGAGGGAGCAGUAGGGAAUCUUCCACAAUGGACGAAAGCCUGAGGGAGCAACGCCGCGUGAGUGAAGAAGCUUUUCGGAUCGUAUAGCUCUGGUGUAGGUGAAGCGGUAAUCAACCAGAAAGUCACGGCUAACUACGUGCCAGCAGCCGCGGUAGUU
rnacentral:rRNA from 1 species